UCCCGGGUGGUCCAGUGGUUAAGAAUCUGCCUUGCCAAUGCAGGGGGCACAGGUUCGAUCCCUGGUCCAGGAA
rnacentral:tRNA from 1 species